rnacentral:rRNA from 1 species
UGGGGAAUAUUGGACAAUGGGCGCAAGCCUGAUCCAGCCAUGCCGCGUGAGUGAUGAAGGCCUUCGGGUUGUAAAGCUCUUUUGUCCGGGAAGAUAAUGACUGUACCGGAAGAAUAAGCCCCGGCUAACUUCGUGCCAGCAGCCGCGGUAAUACGAAGGGGGCUAGCGUUGCUCGGAAUCACUGGGCGUAAAGGGCGCGUAGGCGGACUUUUAAGUCGGAGGUGAAAGCCCAGGGCUCAACCCUGGAAUUGCCUUCGAUACUGGGAGUCUUGAGUUCGGAAGAGGUUGGUGGAACUGCGAGUGUAGAGGUGAAAUUCGUAGAUAUUCGCAAGAACACCGGUGGCGAAGGCGGCCAACUGGUCCGAAACUGACGCUGAGGCGCGAAAGCGUGGGGAGCAAACAGG